rnacentral:lncRNA from 1 species
AUACUGUGUAGCAUAGAUGUAAUCUAUGUGUGUAGCAAUGUUUAGAGUUUUUCUGUAAAUAUGGUGAUUAAGGUGGCUCGUGGGUACAAAAAUUUCAGCAAAGAAUUGAACCUUUAUUUUUUCAUUACAAAUUUUAUUAUAACACUAUUAGUUAUUACUUAAUGAUAUGGUAAAAAAAUCAACCCAAAAAAUCGAUUCGGUUUGGCCCCA